GACGAACGCUGGCGGCGUGCUUAACACAUGCAAGUCGAACGGAAAGGCCCUGCUUUUGUGGGGUGCUCGUGUGGCGAACGGGUGAGUAACACGUGAGUAUCCUGCCCUUGACUUUGGGAUAACUUCAGGAAACUGGGGCUCAUACCGGAUAGGAGCUCCUGCUGCAUGGUGGGGGUUGGAAAGUUUCGGCGGUUGGGUAUGGACUCGCGGCUUAUCAGCUUGUUGGUGGGGUAGUGGCUUACCAAGGCUUUGACGGGUAGCCGGCCUGAGAGGGUGACCGGCCACAUUGGGACUGAGAUACGGCCCAGACUCCUACGGGAGGCAGCAGUGGGGAAUAUUGCACGAUGGGCGGAAGCCUGAUGCAGCAACGCCGCGGGCGGGAUGACGGCCUUCGGGUUGUAAACCGCUUUCGCCUGUGACGAAGCGUGAGUGACGGUAAUGGGUAAAGAAGCACCGGCUAACUACGUG
rnacentral:rRNA from 1 species